rnacentral:rRNA from 1 species
AACGAACGCUGGCGGCAGGCUUAACACAUGCAAGUCGAGCGCCCCGCAAGGGGAGCGGCAGACGGGUGAGUAACGCGUGGGAACGUACCCUUUGCUACGGAAUAGCUCCGGGAAACUGGAAUUAAUACCGUAUGUGCCCUACGGGGGAAAGAUUUAUCGGCAAAGGAUCGGCCCGCGUUGGAUUAGCUAGUUGGUGGGGUAAUGGCCUACCAAGGCGACGAUCCAUAGCUGGUCUGAGAGGAUGAUCAGCCACAUUGGGACUGAGACACGGCCCAAACUCCUACGGGAGGCAGCAGUGGGGAAUCUUGGACAAUGGGCGCAAGCCUGAUCCAGCCAUGCCGCGUGAGUGGAGAAGGCCUUAGGGUUGUAAAACUCUUUCGCCGGAGAAGAUAAUGACGGUAUCCGGAGAAGAAGCCCCGGCUAACUUCGUGCCAGCCGCCGCUGUAAAAC